rnacentral:tRNA from 1 species
GGCGGGGUAGCUCUGCUGGCGAGAGCGUACGACUCAUAAUCGUAAGGGCAAGAGUUCGAGCCUCUUGCUCGCUAC